rfam:Stegodyphus mimosarum contig15654, whole genome shotgun sequence.
GCCUUCGUGGUGUAGUGGUAAGCCCGCUCGGUGCGUAUUCAUGAGGUCCGUGGUUCGAGUCCCGGCGAGGGCA